GAUGAACGCUAGCUACAGGCUUAACACAUGCAAGUCGGGGGGAAACGAUAUUGGAAGCUUGCUUCCGAUAGGCGUCGACCGGCGCACGGGUGAGUAACGCGUAUCCAACCUGACCACCACUUGGGAAUAACCUUGCGAAAGUAAGACUAAUGCCCAAUGAUAUCUCUAGAAGACAUCUGAAGGAGAUUAAAGAUUUAUCGGUGAUGGAUGGGGAUGCGUCUGAUUAGCUUGUUGGCGGGGGAACGGCCCACCAAGGCGACGAUCAGUAGGGGUUCUGAGAGGAAGGUCCCCCACAUUGGAACUGAGACACGGUCCAAACUCCUACGGGAGGCAGCAGUGAGGAAUAUUGGUCAAUGGGCGAGAGCCUGAACCAGCCAAGUAGCGUGCAGGAUGACGGCCCUAUGGGUUGUAAGCUGCUUUUAUAAGGGAAUAAAGUUAGUCUCGUGAGACUUUUUGCAUGUACCUUAUGAAUAAGGACCGGCUAAUUCCGUGCCAGCAGCCGCAGUAA
rnacentral:rRNA from 1 species